AGUGCAAUUGCUGGAUUGUGUGGUAAAUAUAUAUUUACUUUUAUAGGAAACUACCAAACUGUUUUUCAGAGUGGCUGUACCAUUUUACAUUCCCACCAGCAAU
rnacentral:pre_miRNA from 1 species